GACGAACGCUGGCGGCGUGCUUGACACAUGCAAGUCGAACGGAAAGGCCUGCUUUCCCUUGUGGAUUGCGGGUACUCGAGUGGCGAACGGGUGAGUAACACGUGAGUGAUCUGCCCCCAACUUGGGUAUAAGCCUGGGAAACUGGGUCUAAUUCCCGAUAGGACUGCAGGGUGGUGCCUGUGGUGGAAAACGAUUUUCUAGUGGUUGGGGAUGAGCUCGCGGCCUAUCAGCUUGUUGGUGGGGUAAUGGCCUACCAAGGCGGCGACGGGUAGCCGGCCUGAGAGGGUGGACGGCCACAUUGGGACUGAGAUACGGCCCAGACUCCUACGGGAGGCAGCAGUGGGGAAUAUUGCACAAUGGGCGGAAGCCUGAUGCAGCGACGCCGCGUGGGGGAUGACGGCCUUCGGGCUGUAAACUCCUUUCGACCGCGAGGAAGCCACCUGGUUGGAAGGGUGGUGACGGUAGUGGUAGAAGAAGCACCGGCUAACUACGUG
rnacentral:rRNA from 1 species